rnacentral:misc_RNA from 1 species
UCACCCCUCAAGCCCCGUGCUUGGUGUUGGACGGCUUGGUCGCGUCAGCGCGACCCCUCCUAAAGACAAUGACGGCGGCCUGUGGUUCCCCCGGUACACUGAGCUUUUAACUGAGCACGUAUUGGACAAGGGCACCCGGGACCCGGUCUUCUCCCUUCACUGGGAAAUUUUUCAAU